UACGUAGGGUGCAAGCGUUAAUCGGAAUUACUGGGCGUAAAGCGUGCGCAGGCGGUGAUGUAAGACAGUUGUGAAAUCCCCGGGCUCAACCUGGGAACUGCAUCUGUGACUGCAUUGCUGGAGUGCGGCAGAGGAGGAUGGAAUUCCGCGUGUAGCAGUGAAAUGCGUAGAGAUGUGGAGGAACACCGAUGGCGAAGGCAGCCCCCUGGGCUAACACUGACGCUCAGGCACGAAAGCGUGGGGAGCAAACAGG
rnacentral:rRNA from 1 species